GCUUGAAGUAUUUUUUUUUUUUAAAACACUAAAAGACCAGCUUCUAUAUCAAGUUUUGUAGUUAACAUGAACAGUGCAAGACGACAAUCAGCCGGCUCAUCCCAGGCUUCACACAGAGACCUCCUAAUUGCUAAAGUUGUGCCUUUCACACGGACAGAAGAAGACCUACCAGGUAGUUGAGGUUAGAAACUUUGGAAGAAAACAAAUACUUCAAGCUCAGCAUAGGAUGAAGGCAGCGGCCUUGUAACCACAUUCAGUAAUGUGACGGGUUUUCCUGUUGACCACGAUACAAGGAAGAUCAUUGGUGCCAGCUCGAAAAUAUCACAAACAGUAGCGAAGCUCACCAGCAUUAAGAACAAAUCUGUAUCUGUAGCUCUGUAUACAAUACAAAAGCAGACUAUAGCGCACAUAAUUUCAUUUUCAGUUAGAAAUAAUGAGCCAACAACGCUCAUAAAGGAGCUAAGCUCGAUUUUAGGUCAGCAGAACAUCAGGAACAGUUAUUUCUUUAACAUAGAAAUCAUCUCAUCUAGUUGACUGUUAGACAUUACUUUGAAACUUGUGGGCACUUUGAGAUUUGUGGGCUAUUGUUGAUUUUGGAUGGUCAUACCCAAUGUUCACCAAGUAAGCUUUCUGGUUUUUCUAUGAAUUCAGGUCCAGGGUCAGGUGAACGUCAAAUAUAUCUAUUGACAGCAUGAACUGAAAAGCACCA
rnacentral:misc_RNA from 1 species